rnacentral:rRNA from 1 species
AUGAACUUGCUCAAAAAAUUAUGCAACCAGAACCAACAGGGCAAAUACAAUUUUAUAUGGUCAAAACUAGAUGUGUUUAAUAAGAAGCAAGUCUAUGUCAGGAAGAAACUGGAAGCAGAUCAGGUAGCAUUAGUAACACUCAUUGCGGAGCUAGAGGAGCCACAGGGUCUUUGUGAAUUGCCAGGAAUUGACCCUCUUGGUACUAAGAGAAAGAAGGGGAGGGCAAUAACAUAUUUUUCUGAAUGGAUACAGAAAGAGCCUCCCGUGAAUAGGUCUUUACUGCAUGACACCCAUGGAGCUAGGUAUGGCAUCAUGACAACCAACCUUGCAGAGGUGUAUAAUUUUGUUCUCAGAGGGAAUAGAGCAUUGCCACUCACAACUAUUGUGGUGGCUGUAUUCCAUGACAUAUUGAGAUAAUUCAAAGAAAGGUACAACUCAGCGAAGAAGCAUAUUUCAGACAAUCCGAACACACCUUACUGUAGAAGUAUCAUGGACUACAUGGCGAACAAGAUGGAAAAAGCAAAGAAGCACAUUGUCAGAGACAUCAGUAAUCAGGAAAGGAGGUAUGAGGUACAGCUACCUACCGAUGGUUUUGGUUCUGCAAAUGAGUUGAAAACACACGAGGCAAGAAUUGGAACAGAAUUCUGACCAACGUGUGAGUGUACAUGCAACAAACCGAAGUUGUUGCACUUGCCUUGCUCACAUGUGCUGGCUGCCUGUGGCCAGAUUCAGUUGGACGCCAUCUCCUUCAUGUCCCCAUACUAUUUAAAAGAGGCAGUAUUGAACACAUGGACUGGUGAGAUGACAGGGUUUAGAGCCGUCGGCAAUUUGAACAAGCUAAAUGACAAUGAGAGAGUAUACAUCCUGGAUCCAGCUCUAAGGAGAACAAGUAGGGGUAGACGUAAGGUAUGUCAGAUCCGUAAUGAUAUGGACCAAUCUAAAGCUGGUGGAGCAACCAGACAAUGUUUGCUAUGCAUGGCUCAUGGGCAUAGGAUGAAAUAUUGUCCCGACCUCAAAAAGAUGGUUCUUCCACAAUCGGUGAGUACGACAACAUGCGCUUCCAUAUCGGCGAGUGCGAAAACAGGAGCAAGGAGCGGACGUGGUCAAGACAGUCGAGGCCGAAGGGGAGGAAGAGGAAGAAAUAACUCACAAGCUAUAUAA